rnacentral:rRNA from 1 species
CGUAGGUGGCAAGCGUUGUCCGGAUUUAUUGGGUUUAAAGGGUGCGUAGGCGGCCCUGUAAGUCAGUGGUGAAAUAUCUCAGCUUAACUGAGAGGGUGCCAUUGAUACUGCGGGGCUUGAGUACAGAUGAGGUAGGCGGAAUUGACGGUGUAGCGGUGAAAUGCAUAGAUAUCGUCAAGAACUCCGAUAGCGAAGGCAGCUUACUAAGCUGUAACUGACGCUGAGGCACGAAAGUGUGGGGAUCAAACAGGAUUAGAUACCCUGGUAGUCCACACUGUAAACGUUGAUGACUCGAUGUUGGCGAUACACAGCCAGCGUACCAAGAGCAAUCGUUAAGUCAUCCACCUGGGGAGUACGCCGGCAACGGUG